AUGCAGGCCCAGGGCCUCCUCCGCGUCCCCGGCCACCCGGCGGCGGCGCGGCCCCUCCCGCGCCGGCAAUGCCGCGUGUCGGCCGUGGCGGCGGCGGCGCCGUCGGUGCAGCGCGGCGUGACGCACUCGAUGCCGCCGGAGAAGGCGGAGGUGUUCCAGUCGCUGCGGGGCUGGGCGGCGGGGUCGCUGCUGCCGCUGCUCCGGCCCGUGGAGGACAUCUGGCAGCCGGCGGACUUCCUGCCGGACUCGUCGUCCGAGAUGUUCGAGCACGAGGUGCGCGAGCUGCGGGCCCGCGCCGCGGCGCUGCCCGACGACUACUUCGUGGUGCUGGUGGGGGACAUGGUCACCGAGGAGGCGCUCCCCACGUACCAGACCAUGAUCAACACCCUCGACGGCGUCCGCGACGAGACCGGCGCCAGCGCCUGCCCCUGGGCCGUCUGGACCCGCGCCUGGACCGCCGAGGAGAACCGCCACGGCGACGUCCUCAACAAGUACAUGUACCUCUCCGGCCGCGUCGACAUGCGCAUGGUCGAGAAGACCGUCCAGUACCUCAUCGGCUCCGGCAUGGACCCGAGGACGGAGAACAACCCGUACCUGGGCUUUGUGUACACGAGCUUCCAGGAGCGCGCCACGGCCGUCUCCCACGGCAACACCGCGCGGCUCGCCAGGGCGCACGGCGACGACGUGCUGGCGCGCACUUGCGGCACCAUCGCCGCCGACGAGAAGCGCCACGAGACGGCCUACAGCCGCAUCGUGGAGCAGCUGCUGCAGCUCGACUCGGACGGCGCCAUGCUCGCCAUCGCGGACAUGAUGCGCAAGCGGAUCACCAUGCCCGCGCACCUCAUGCACGACGGCAGCGACAUGAGCCUGUUCGAGCAUUUCGCGUCCGUGGCCCAGCGCCUCGGCGUGUACACCGCGCAGGACUACACCGACAUCGUCGAGUUCCUCGUCAAGCGGUGGAAGCUGGAGGCGCUGGAGGGCGGGCUCUCCGGCGAAGGCCGGAGGGCCCGGGACUUCGUCUGCGGGCUCGCGCCGAGGAUGCGGCGCGCGGCGGAGAGGGCGGCCGACAGGGCCAAGAAAGACGAGCCCAGGAAGGUCAGGUUCAGCUGGAUCUUUGAUAGGGAAGUGGUUGUCUAG
rnacentral:rRNA from 1 species